UUGCAAACAACACCUGUAUUUGCAGGAACUGUACCUGUAGAUAUUUCCUCCCAUGGAUCAGUCUUGACCUAGCCUGUUAUUUAGCUGUCAAAUAAUUUUCAGAUCCCAAACAUCAAGCUCACAUUUUUUGAUGGCUGGUAAAGUGGAAUUAGUAGAAUUCCUGCUGGAACUCCCACUGCAAUGGGGUCCUCUCCACAGUCCUCUUUGGCAGGGCCAUGCCUUCAUUGACCUUUAUGGCUGUGUUCAGAAUAAGAGGAGGAAUCUCCUAUCAAUCUGAUUACUUGACAACCCCCCUCUUCCCAGACUGAUCCUCUUCUCUACAGGCAUGAGAGAUACAGAGAUGUGUGCAAGUAAUGAACCCACCUUCAUUUUGCAAGCCUCACCUCUUG